UGACAACAUAAAAAGAGCCCUCCGAAAACUGGUGAAUGACCAGCAGAAUAACUGGGAUCUGUAUCUAGAGCCCACCCUGUUUUCACUUCGGUCAAAAGUACACACCACAACAAAAUACACACCUUUUUUUCUGAUGUAUGGAAGAGAGGCAGUAUUUCCAUCAGAAGUGCCUGCUCAAGUGCCGUGAAGUGGCUUUGGGCUGCAAAAGACACCG